rnacentral:rRNA from 1 species
UGGGGAAUUUUGGGCAAUGGGCGCAAGCCUGACGAAGCAACGCCGCGUGGAGGAUGAAGGUCUUCGGAUUGUAAACUCCUGUCGACCGGGACGAAUGCACCCGACCUAAUACGUCGAAGUGUUGACGGUACCGGUGGAGGAAGCCACGGCUAACUCUGUGCCAGCAGCCGCGGUAAUACAGAGGUGGCAAGCGUUGUUCGGAAUUACUGGGCGUAAAGCGUGCGCAGGCGGUUAUGCAAGACAGAUGUGAAAUCCCCGGGCUCAACCUGGGAACUGCAUUUGUGACUGUAUAGCUAGAGUACGGUAGAGGGGGAUGGAAUUCCGCGUGUAGCAGUGAAAUGCGUAGAUAUGCGGAGGAACACCGAUGGCGAAGGCAAUCCCCUGGACCUGUACUGACGCUCAUGCACGAAAGCGUGGGGAGCAAACAGGAUUAGAUACCCCCGUAGUCCCUGAGCGGGCUGGCAAGGCGCAU